GUGUGAGGGUGGAAUUGUGUGUGUGUAGGUAGGGUGUGUGUGUGAGGGUGACCAUGUGUUUGAGGGGGCAGUGUGUGUGUGAGGGGGCAGUGUGUGUCUGAGGUUCAGUGUGUGUCAGAGGUGCAGUGUGGCAGUGUGUGUGAAGCGGCGCAGUGUGUGUGAGGGAAGGUGGGUGAGAUGUGAAAAUUUAUCUUAAUGUCUCCCUCUCCCUUUUUCUUAGCUUUUACCAGAGG